rnacentral:ncRNA from 2 species
CAAAAUAAUACUGGAAUAAGUGAUUCUUUCCUGAAGGAAGGAAUUGAAAAGGGAAGUCAGUAGAAGCUGACGCGGUGCCCGCCACUGUAUGAGGGAGUUUUCUCACCUGUGUCACCGGAAAUGUUUCCGGGAAGACGUGAGCAGACGAUGAUCUUGAGCCAGGAGACCUGCUUAAGCCAGGGUUAAAAC